rnacentral:rRNA from 1 species
CACUUUAACACUGAGGCGUGACGACGAGGCACUACGGUGCUGAAGCAACAAAUGCCCUGCUUCCAGGAAAAGCCUCUAAGCAUCAGGUAACAUCAAAUCGUACCCCAAACCGACACAGGUGGUCAGGUAGAGAAUACCAAGGCGCUUGAGAGAACUCGGGUGAAGGAACUAGGCAAAAUGGUGCCGUAACUUCGGGAGAAGGCACGCUGACACGUAGGUGAAGUGAUUUACUCAUGGAGCUGAAGUCAGUCGAAGAUACCAGCUGGCUGCAACUGUUUAUUAAAAACACAGCACUGUGCAAACACGAAAGUGGACGUAUACGGUGUGACGCCUGCCCGGUGCCGGAAGGUUAAUUGAUGGGGUCAGCGCAAGCGAAGCUCCUGAUCGAAGCCCCGGUAAACGGCGGCCGUAACUAUAACGGUCCUAAGGUAGCGAAAUUCCUUGUCGGGUAAGUUCCGACCUGCACGAAUGGCGUAAUGAUGGCCAGGCUGUCUCCACCCGAGACUCAGUGAAAUUGAACUCGCUGUGAAGAUGCAGUGUACCCGCGGCAAGACGGAAAGACCCCGUGAACCUUUACUAUAGCUUGACACUGAACAUUGAGCCUUGAUGUGUAGGAUAGGUGGGAGGCUUUGAAGUGUGGACGCCAGUCUGCAUGGAGCCGACCUUGAAAUACCACCCUUUAAUGUUUGAUGUUCUAACGUGGACCCGUUACCCGGGUUGCGGACAGUGUCUGGUGGGUAGUUUGACUGGGGCGGUCUCCUCCUAAAGAGUAACGGAGGAGCACGAAGGUUGGCUAAUCCUGGUCGGACAUCAGGAGGUUAGUGCAAUGGCAUAAGCCAGCUUGACUGCGAGCGUGACGGCGCGAGCAGGUGCGAAAGCAGGUCAUAGUGAUCCGGUGGUUCUGAAUGGAAGGGCCAUCGCUCAACGGAUAAAAGGUACUCCGGGGAUAACAGGCUGAUACCGCCCAAGAGUUCAUAUCGACGGCGGUGUUUGGCACCUCGAUGUCGGCUCAUCACAUCCUGGGGCUGAAGUAGGUCCCAAGGGUAUGGCUGUUCGCCAUUUAAAGUGGUACGCGAGCUGGGUUUAGAACGUCGUGAGACAGUUCGGUCCCUAUCUGCCGUGGGCGCUGGAGAACUGAGGGGGGCUGCUCCUAGUACGAGAGGACCGGAGUGGACGCAUCACUGGUGUUCGGGUUGUCAUGCCAAUGGCACUGCCCGGUAGCUAAAUGCGGAAGAGAUAAGUGCUGAAAGCAUCUAAGCACGAAACUUGCCCCGAGAUGAGUUCUCCCUGAGACUUAAAGUCUCCUGAAGGAACGUUGAAGACGACGACGUUGAUAGGC